rnacentral:rRNA from 1 species
UACGUAGGGGGCAAGCGUUAUCCGGAAUUACUGGGUGUAAAGGGAGCGUAGACGGUAAUGUAAGUCUGGAGUGAAAGGCGGGGGCCCAACCCCCGGACUGCUCUGGAAACUAUGUUACUAGAGUGUAGGAGAGGUAAGCGGAAUUCCUAGUGUAGCGGUGAAAUGCGUAGAUAUUAGGAGGAACACCAGUGGCGAAGGCGGCUUACUGGACUGUAACUGACGUUGAGGCUCGAAAGCGUGGGGAGCAAACAGG